rnacentral:misc_RNA from 1 species
CAAAUAACUACAACAAGAGAAGAACACACUAAAGCCACAUUUACCAGAACACAUGUUUUGCAUGGUGAUGCACUACCAGAACAUGCACUACUUUUGACGGUAGGCAAUGUACUCAGCCAAGUGAACCAACGGUGCCGCCUUCUCCGCGUUGAAUCCAGCAAGGUGCUCCUUAGCUUCCCGGAGCAAUUUUUCAGCGAACUCUCGGGACUUCUCGAGCCCCAUCAGCUUCGGAUAGGUUGUCUUGUCCGAGGCAAGAUCCUUCCCUGCAGUCUUCCCCAACUCCUCGGAGGACUUUGUCACAUCGAGAAUGUCAUCAACCACCUGGAAGAGAAGCCCAAUUGACCUCGCAUACUGCCUGAGGUGUUCAACCUGCUCAUCAGAACCCCCACCAACAGUUGCUCCCAUCACAACCGACGCCUCUAGGAGUGCGGCGGUCUUGUGGAGGUGGAUAUACUCAAGCCGAUCUAGUCCCACCGUGGCAUCGAGCCCAGUGGACUCUAUAUCAACCACCUGGCCAGCAACAAGUCCUUCGCCGCCAAUGCAGCGUGCAAGCUCAGCGACUGCGCGGACCAUGCGCGAGGGCUGGACGGGGCCGCCGUAUGAGGUUGGAUCGGCGAGGACGCGGAAGGCUUGGGCGAGGAGGGCGUCGCCGGCGAGGACGGCGAUGGGCUCGCCGUAGACGACAUGGCAGGUGGGCUUGCCGCGGCGGAGGGCGUCAUCGUCCAUGCCCCCGGCCCUCUCCGUGGAGAUGAUCCACACCAUGUCUCUCAUCCAUGACGAUCUCCCCUG